CACAUGGAAAAAGAAGCUGAAAAAUCACUGGUCAAUCCAUUCUUCUUCAUGCCUUGUCUAUCCUUUCUAAGAGAGAGCACGAGACAAUCUCACACCCCAUUACUCAGAGAUCCUCUGAGAUCCUGUACGUGUUUGUGACCAUUCCUGAGCCCCGAGCUGGAAUUUUUAAAGCACUACCAGCAGCAGCCCCAAGCAAAAUAAUGGAUGACUGAGAUCAGAGGGAAGCACCGUGUGCUCACAAAGUGAAGAACUGCACAUGCAGGAGGCUCAGAUUUCCCCUCUCGACCACCUGAUUAGUCAAGGUCUUGGUACUGCCCAGCUCUGUGAUCAGCGAUGUGUCUGCAGCCUGGGUGGGAUCUAUUGGGUGAAUGUCCCUCAGAGGCAGUUCCAUGGGCCUAGGCCAGGUGUCCAAGGCCAGUACAAGCCAGCUUGCAGUGCCACAGAUGAUCUACAGAGCACCCUUCUGACCUCAGCCAUUCUGGGACUGUGUUCCUGAUUGUUAGCACCAAAUGAAUUAUUCAGCUGAAGAUGAGUCAGGAUGGCACAGUGAAGAACUGAAGUGAUUCUCUGUUUAACAUGAAGCUUCCAGUGGGUGUGGGGGGAUGAAUGGAGUCAGGCCACCAGUCUGUCACCUGGAUAAUCCCUCUUCCACUUCUGCUGCCAUCUCUGGGCUGGUUGGGACUGAAGUGGUACCUUUAGAAUUCACAGAAUCACUGGGUUGGAAGAGACCUUCAAGAUCAUGGAGUCCAACCCAUGCCCUAACACCUG